GCUCCUGCCCCUCUCACCAUCCUGUUACCUCCGCAAACCCCACAAACCUGCCGACUCUGAAGAGGUUCCACCCACCUCACAGAAAAACAGCAACCACAGGCACACACACCACAGGCAUCUGCUUCCUUCCUCCAGGCCUGUGCCCUAUGCCCUGGUUCCCUGGAGAUCCAGGGCAGCUCUGCCUGGGUUUGUAAGGGACUCCUGGAGGGCCGGCAUGUAGUUUCAAGUGUAAGCCCUCCUGAAUGGAUCUUCCUGUUUUCCUCAUUACCUCUUGACAACCUCAGUGUACUUACCGCUCCG